rnacentral:piRNA from 1 species
UGGGAAAGACAACAAUGAUGGCUCUCAC